rnacentral:rRNA from 1 species
CCCGAAAGUCGAAUGGGGAGAUUCAACGUCAACGGAGUCGUUUUCCUUGUGGAUUGUGAUGUUUGAAGCAAUACUUUUAUCGGUAUUUGUUGAUUUCACGCAUUCACAUUGGUUACGUUUACGUCGGCGUGCACUUCUCCUCUAGUAGAACGUCGCGACCCGCUGGGUGUCGGUUUAAGGACUGAGAUUGUCGACUGUUUCGCGUUACGUGUUAAUAGCGCGUACACGUGUUAACAGACGCUCGGAUUCCCGACCGGCUGCUCGGCGGUAUGUACUUAUGGUAUUGAGCCGCACAAAAGCGCUUUUUGUGUUUGAAUGCGUUCAGACUCGUUGCAAGCCCGAUCAUCUUUUCUUAACCUGGAUGUGCGGACCUAGUGCCGUCCCCGGGGGUGAUUAGCUGUUGGUUUAACGAUGUUCUCGAACUGGCUUAUUUAUAAUAUAUAAAAAUACCGGUCAGCGACGCUAUUGCUUUGGGUACUUUCAGGACCCGUCUUGAAACCCGGACCAAGGAGUCUAACAUGUGCGCAAGUCAUUGGGAUAAUAAAACCUAAAGGCGUAUUGAAAGAGAAGAUCGGCCUUGUGUCGAUUGAGGGAAGAUGGGUAACAAAUUGUUUUUAUUAACAAAAAUGUUACCUCGCAUUCCCGGGGCGUCUCGUUGUCAUUGCGACUUGAGGCGCACCCAGAGCGUACACGUUGGGACCCGAAAGAUGGUGAACUAUGCCUGGUCAGGACGAAGUCAGGGGAAACCCUGAUGGAGGUCCGUAGCGAUUCUGACGUGCAAAUCGAUCGUCGGAACUGGGUAUA